rnacentral:ncRNA from 1 species
UCCUGACUAAUUGUUCCAUGUGGAACAUUAGACUCACCCAAGACAGGAGAACCUCAUG